rnacentral:rRNA from 1 species
AGUGAACGCUGGCGGUAGGCCUAACACAUGCAAGUCGAACGGCAGCACAGUAAGAGCUUGCUCUUACGGGUGGCGAGUGGCGGACGGGUGAGGAAUACAUCGGAAUCUACUUUUUCGUGGGGGAUAACGUAGGGAAACUUACGCUAAUACCGCAUACGACCUACGGGUGAAAGCAGGGGAUCUUCGGACCUUGCGCGAUUGAAUGAGCCGAUGUCGGAUUAGCUAGUUGGCGGGGUAAAGGCCCACCAAGGCGACGAUCCGUAGCUGGUCUGAGAGGAUGAAUAGGCCAACUGGAAAUGGGACAAGGGCCAGGAUCCUAAGGGAGGGCAGCGGGGGGGAUAUUGGACAAUGGGCGCAAGCCUGAUCCAGCCAUACCGCGUGGGUGAAGAAGGCCUUCGGGUUGUAAAGCCCUUUUGUUGGGAAAGAAAAGCAGCAGGUUAAUACCCCGCUGUUCUGACGGUACCCAAAGAAUAAGCACCGGCUAACUUCGUG